rnacentral:lncRNA from 1 species
CAUUGAGAUAGUGCUUAGGAAAAGCCCAGUGCUCAUUGAUUUCAUUCUCUCUGGUGCCUCUCUAAUGAAGAACUCAAGCUGUCCAACAUAGGCAAAAGCUUCUCCAGCACCCACAAGGAAGAACUGAGGAACAAGCCAGAAAGCACUUAUUUGGGUUUUUGACUGAACCGCCAUGUCCCUCCUUUCUUUCUCAAUUAUAGCCGCAACCACCAUUGCAACUAUUGAUAAGGUCAGCCCAAUCCCAAUCCUUUGAAGGCUUGUGAUUCCUUGAACAGUGUGGGUAACUUUUCGAGCCAAUGGGAUGAAUACUCUUUCAUUUAGAGAUGUGAAUAGGAGAAUUGUAAUGAUUA